AUUGAACGCUGGCGGCAUGCUUUACACAUGCAAGUCGAACGGGGUGAAGGGGCAACUCUUCAUUCAGUGGCGAACGGGUGAGUAAUACAUCGGAACGUACCCCGUAGUGGGGGAUAACUCGGCGAAAGCCGUGCUAAUACCGCAUAUGCUCUACGGAGGAAAGCAGGGGACCGCAAGGCCUUGUGCUAUGGGAGCGGCCGAUGUCCGAUUAGCUAGUUGGUGAGGUAAUGGCNCACCAAGGCGACGAUCGGUAGCUGGUCUGAGAGGAUGAUCAGCCACACUGGGACUGAGACACGGCCCAGACUCCUACGGGAGGCAGCAGUGGGGAAUUUUGGACAAUGGGGGCAACCCUGAUCCAGCCAUGCCGCGUGCGGGAAGAAGGCCU
rnacentral:rRNA from 1 species